rnacentral:lncRNA from 1 species
AUUUUAUACUAAUUUUGAUUUUAACUCUAGAAAAAAAAUCUUUUUUUGUAUCUGCUAUCUAAAAGUAAAAUAAAAUGAGUUUAUUUUCAGUUUAAUAACAAAUCUACUGGUUAAAUUAAAAUGUACAGAUAUGUAAUAAUACAUGAUACGAGCUUCUUAUGAAGAUAAGAAAGGAGGAUAAACCAAGAAAAAUGGAAAGAAAGAGAUUUUCUUUGGGGAAGAUGUGUGCGUAGAAAUUCAUAAGAUGUGCGUAGAGAUUCAUAAGAAAACCUCACCGAUUGUACUCUGCUUUUCAAUGAAAGUGUGUGCCAAUAAAGAAUAAAGCUGGGGUAACAAGAUUGGAAUCCUUGAGAUGGUUUCUGCUUCUAAUUGUUGCUUUCAAAUCAUUCCUCCAAAUAGGAAAUUAUACUCUCGAACAUUCAAAUCCAUGGACUCUAUGCUGUACCUCCCGAACAUGCUUUUUUCUUUGAUAUAUAGAUAAUUUAAAUCUUAAUGGUGGUUCUACACUGUUAGAAAUGUAUUAUUGUUAUGAAGAGAUGCAGUGCAUAAGAAAUAUUUGCAUGAUACUGGAAAUACGAACAUCCGGUAUACAUCAGAGAGAAAAUCUAUAGAAGAAUCAACGAGCAAUCCAAGGGGUUAUGCUAUAUGGGAUGUAUAAUAUCAUGUUUUUUUUUGUAUCAUGGAAUAAUAUGUUUAACAAUAUUAAUUGUGUUAAUUGUAGGUAUUUAUAAGCUAUUCUUUUUCUAAUAAAUUUUAAUAAAUG